ensembl:lncRNA
CCGGCUAUUUUUAUAAAAUGGUGUAAAAUAUUUACAGGAAAUCUACACACCACUCAGUUCGUCACACAAAGCACUGUGUGCCGUGUCCAUAGAAGAAGAAGCCAUGUUCUGAUCAAUCUUGGUUUCAAAUUCAGUUCGCCUCUGUUAUGGAGAGUGUAUUGAAUACUGCAGUCACCGAGACAAUGAAACUUUUCGAAACAACUAUUGAGGAACUGCGAGCCGAAAUAUCCAGAAUAAAAAAAGAGAACAAGGACCUCAAAUCGAGGCGUCGAUCCAAUGAAAUAACGAAGAGAUGGACCGGUGAAAGUGAACGCCAAAACCACAGAGCCCAGACCGAGUCAAAGUGCUACACGUAUCGGAAAAUGUGACAUCGGCGUUCAAUGCGUUCUGACAAAGCAGGCUUUACCUUGGGCUGGGGAGCAGCACCUGCGGGAGGAGGACCAGGGGACUGAGCUGCACUGUGGAGCGUAUGACGAGGAGGGCAACCCACAGAUGGCCUUUGUUCUGAUCAAACAGGAGGUGGACUGGGUAAGACAGGCUUCUAGCCUGAGUCCCCAGCUAGUCUAAGUCCCAGAUCUGUUUGUGCUGUCUUGUCAAUUCAUCCACCUCUCUAUACUCAACCUGUUGUUGGUGAACCCAGAAAAAAAGAGAAACCUUCACACUGCGCUUGCUAGUAUCACUUGUUUAUUUAAGCUUAUGUACAUCGGCCUCACAGUCUUUGUCAGAGUUUUCAAUGACCCUAAGCUUUUGUGGUUGAUUGUGC